GAGUUUGAUCAUGGCUCAGGAUGAACGCUAGCGGCAGGCUUAAUACAUGCAAGUCGAGGGGCAGCAGCUUUAUAGCAAUAUAGAGGCUGGCGACCGGCAAACGGGUGCGGAACACGUACACAACCUUCCUUGAAUAGGGGGAUAGCCCAUAGAAAUGUGGAUUAAUACCCCGUAAUAUAGCGGUGUGGCAUCACACUGUUAUUAUAGUUUCGGCGAUUCGAGAUGGGUGUGCGGCUGAUUAGGUAGUUGGCGGGGUAAAGGCCCACCAAGCCUUCGAUCAGUAGCUGAUGUGAGAGCAUGAUCAGCCACACGGGCACUGAGACACGGGCCCGACUCCUACGGGAGGCAGCAGUAAGGAAUAUUGGUCAAUGGACGCAAGUCUGAACCAGCCAUGCCGCGUGAAGGAUGAAGGUCCUCUGGAUUGUAAACUUCUUUUAUAGGGGGCGAAAAAAGGUCUUCUAGAUCACUGACAGUACCGUA
rnacentral:rRNA from 1 species